rnacentral:ncRNA from 1 species
GUAAUUACUAUGAAGAGAAGAGUAACACUUGAAGGUAGUUUUAGCGAAUAAGGGAUGGUGUAAGCCUUAUACGAAAUCAUUUGUGAAGAACAUCUCGGAGUUUCUAACCGAACGAGUAAAACUUUAGUAGGCUUAGACGGGUUUAAUCCGUUAUUAAUUUUGCAUUAUGCACUAAGUGGCCUUUAUUUAGGCAAUUUGGGUGGUACCACGUAAGUUAUCCUUUCGUCCCAUUU